GACGAACGCUGGCGGCGUGCCUAAUACAUGCAAGUGGGACGCAAGAGGACACACUGUGCUUGCACACCGUGUUUUCUUGAGUCGCGAACGGGUGAGUAACGCGUAGGUAACCUGCCUAUUAGCGGGGGAUAACUAUUGGAAACGAUAGCUAAUACCGCAUAAUAUUAAUUAUUGCAUGAUAAUUGAUUGAAAGAUGCAAGCGCAUCACUAGUAGAUGGACCUGCGUUGUAUUAGCUAGUUGGUAAGGUAAGAGCUUACCAAGGCGACGAUACAUAGCCGACCUGAGAGGGUGAUCGGCCACACUGGGACUGAGACACGGCCCAGACUCCUACGGGAGGCAGCAGUAGGGAAUCUUCGGCAAUGGACGAAAGUCUGACCGAGCAACGCCGCGUGAGUGAAGAAGGUUUUCGGAUCGUAAAGCUCUGUUGUAAGUCAAGAACGUGUG
rnacentral:rRNA from 1 species